rnacentral:rRNA from 1 species
UGCGGAAUAUUGGACAAUGGGCGAAAGCCUGAUCCAGCCAUGCCGCGUGUGUGAAGAAGGUCUUCGGAUUGUAAAGCACUUUAAGUUGGGAGGAAGGGCAUUAACCUAAUACGUUAGUGUUUUGACGUUACCGACAGAAUAAGCACCGGCUAACUCUGUGCCAGCAGCCGCGGUAAUACAGAGGGUGCAAGCGUUAAUCGGAAUUACUGGGCGUAAAGCGCGCGUAGGUGGUUUGUUAAGUUGGAUGUGAAAUCCCCGGGCUCAACCUGGGAACUGCAUUCAAAACUGACUGACUAGAGUAUGGUAGAGGGUGGUGGAAUUUCCUGUGUAGCGGUGAAAUGCGUAGAUAUAGGAAGGAACACCAGUGGCGAAGGCGACCACCUGGACUAAUACUGACACUGAGGUGCGAAAGCGUGGGGAGCAAACA